GACGAACGCUGGCGGCGUGCUUAACACAUGCAAGUCGAACGGAAAGGCCUUUUCGGCGGUACUCGAGUGGCGAACGGGUGAGUAACACGUUGGUGAUCUGCCCUGCACUCUGGGAUAAGCCUGGGAAACUGGGUCUAAUACCGGAUAGGACCGCACUUUAGUGUGUUUGGUGGAAAGUUUUUUCGGUGUAGGAUGAGCCCGCGGCCUAUCAGCUUGUUGGUGGGGUAAUGGCCUACCAAGGCGGCGACGGGUAGCCGGACUGAGAGGUUGGUCGGCCACAUUGGGACUGAGAUACGGCCCAGACUCCUACGGGAGGCAGCAGUGGGGAAUAUUGCACAAUGGGCGCAAGCCUGAUGCAGCGACGCCGCGGGGGGGAUGACGGCCUUCGGGUUGGAAACUCCUUUCGCCAGGGACGAAGCGUUUUGUGACGGUACCUGGAGAAGAAGCACCGGCUAACUACGUG
rnacentral:rRNA from 1 species